rnacentral:rRNA from 1 species
GUUAAGCGACUAAGCGUACACGGUGGAUGCCCUGGCAGUCAGAGGCGAUGAAGGACGUGCUAAUCUGCGAUAAGCGUCGGUAAGGUGAUAUGAACCGUUAUAACCGGCGAUUUCCGAAUGGGGAAACCCAGUGUGUUUCGACACACUAUCAUUAACUGAAUCCAUAGGUUAAUGAGGCGAACCGGGGGAACUGAAACAUCUAAGUACCCCGAGGAAAAGAAAUCAACCGAGAUUCCCCCAGUAGCGGCGAGCGAACGGGGAGCAGCCCAGAGCCUGAAUCAGUGUGUGUGUUAGUGGAAGCGUCUGGAAAGGCGCGCGAUACAGGGUGACAGCCCCGUACACAAAAAUGCACAUGCUGUGAGCUCGAUGAGUAGGGCGGGACACGUGGUAUCCUGUCUGAAUAUGGGGGGACCAUCCUCCAAGGCUAAAUACUCCUGACUGACCGAUAGUGAACCAGUACCGUGAGGGAAAGGCGAAAAGAACCCCGGCGAGGGGAGUGAAAAAGAACCUGAAACCGUGUACGUACAAGCAGUGGGAGCCUCUUUAUGGGGUGACUGCGUACCUUUUGUAUAAUGGGUCAGCGACUUAUAUUCUGUAGCAAGGUUAACCGAAUAGGGGAGCCGAAGGGAAACCGAGUCUUAACUGGGCGUUAAGUUGCAGGGUAUAGACCCGAAACCCGGUGAUCUAGCCAUGGGCAGGUUGAAGGUUGGGUAACACUAACUGGAGGACCGAACCGACUAAUGUUGAAAAAUUAGCGGAUGACUUGUGGCUGGGGGUGAAAGGCCAAUCAAACCGGGAGAUAGCUGGUUCUCCCCGAAAGCUAUUUAGGUAGCGCCUCGUGAAUUCAUCUCCGGGGGUAGAGCACUGUUUCGGCAAGGGGGUCAUCCCGACUUACCAACCCGAUGCAAACUGCGAAUACCGGAGAAUGUUAUCACGGGAGACACACGGCGGGUGCUAACGUCCGUCGUGAAGAGGGAAACAACCCAGACCGCCAGCUAAGGUCCCAAAGUCAUGGUUAAGUGGGAAACGAUGUGGGAAGGCCCAGACAGCCAGGAUGUUGGCUUAGAAGCAGCCAUCAUUUAAAGAAAGCGUAAUAGCUCACUGGUCGAGUCGGCCUGCGCGGAAGAUGUAACGGGGCUAAACCAUGCACCGAAGCUGCGGCAGCGACGCUUAUGCGUUGUUGGGUAGGGGAGCGUUCUGUAAGCCUGUGAAGGUGUGCUGUGAGGCAUGCUGGAGGUAUCAGAAGUGCGAAUGCUGACAUAAGUAACGAUAAAGCGGGUGAAAAGCCCGCUCGCCGGAAGACCAAGGGUUCCUGUCCAACGUUAAUCGGGGCAGGGUGAGUCGACCCCUAAGGCGAGGCCGAAAGGCGUAGUCGAUGGGAAACAGGUUAAUAUUCCUGUACUUGGUGUUACUGCGAAGGGGGGACGGAGAAGGCUAUGUUGACCGGGCGACGGUUGUCCCGGUUUAAGCGUGUAGGCUGGUUUUCCAGGCAAAUCCGGAAAAUCAAGGCUGAGGCGUGAUGACGAGGCACUACGGUGCUGAAGCAACAAAUGCCCUGCUUCCAGGAAAAGCCUCUAAGCAUCAGGUAACAUCAAAUCGUACCCCAAACCGACACAGGUGGUCAGGUAGAGAAUACCAAGGCGCUUGAGAGAACUCGGGUGAAGGAACUAGGCAAAAUGGUGCCGUAACUUCGGGAGAAGGCACGCUGAUAUGUAGGUGAAGCGACUUGCUCGUGGAGCUGAAAUCAGUCGAAGAUACCAGCUGGCUGCAACUGUUUAUUAAAAACACAGCACUGUGCAAACACGAAAGUGGACGUAUACGGUGUGACGCCUGCCCGGUGCCGGAAGGUUAAUUGAUGGGGUCAGCGCA